GACGAACGCUGGCGGCGUGCUUAACACAUGCAAGUCGAGCGGUAAGGCCCUUUCGGGGGUACGACGAGCGGCGAACGGGUGAGUAACACGUGGGUGACCUGCCCUCAGCCCUGGGAUAAGCCUGGGAAACUGGGUCUAAUACUGGAUAUGACUCCACGGUGCAUGUCGUGGGGUGGAAAGCCUUGUGCGGCUGAGGAUGGGCCCGCGGCCUAUCAGCUUGUUGGUGGGGUGAUGGCCUACCAAGGCGACGACGGGUAGCCGGCCUGAGAGGGCGACCGGCCACACUGGGACUGAGACACGGCCCAGACUCCUACGGGAGGCAGCAGUGGGGAAUCUUGCGCAAUGGGCGAAAGCCUGACGCAGCGACGCCGCGUGAGGGAUGACGGCCUGUGUAAC
rnacentral:rRNA from 1 species